UAUAAAGUAUUUUAGUUAAAAUAGAGUUUUGAAAAAGCUCAGAAAAGUGCGAGCCACUUCUUUAUGU
rnacentral:tRNA from 1 species